rnacentral:rRNA from 1 species
AAUAGCAUAUCAAUAAGCGGAGGAAAAGAAACCAACAGGGAUUGCCUUAGUAACGGCGAGUGAACUGGCAAAAGCUCAAAUUUGAAAUCUUGCAUUUUUGCAUGAGUUGUAAUUUGAAGAGGAUGUCUUUGGUUUUGCUUGGGGUUUAAGUCUCCUGGAAUGGAGCAUCAUGGAGGGUGACAAUCCCGUUUCUGGCUCCAAGUUAUAAGACCUUAUAAGACUCCUUCAAUGAGUCGAGUUGUUUGGGAAUGCAGCUCUAAAUGGGAGGUAAAUUUCUUCUAAAGCUAAAUACAAGCUAGAGACCGAUAGCGAACAAGUAGAGUGAUCGAAAGAUGAAAAGUACUUUGGAAAGAGAGUUAAACAGUAUGUGAAAUUGUUGGAAGGGAAGCAUUUGCAAUCAGAUCUGUGUUGUUGGAAUUCACCUACACAAUUAUUGUGCUUAGAGCAUUUUCCUUCAAUACUUGUCAACAUCAAUUUGAGUAGUGAUAAAAUCUUAGUCAAAAUGUAGCUCACUGAGUGUUAUAGUUGAUUUUGCUUGUCACUAACUUAGAUUGAGGAACGCGAUAGCAUGGAUGUUGACUUAAUGGUUGUAAGUGGCCCGUCUUGAAACACGGACCAAGGAGUCUAACGUUUACGCGAGUGUUUGGGUGUAAAGCUCAAGCGCAUAAUGAAAGUAAAUGUAGGUGGGAGAUUUUUCUUUGGAAAAUUGCACCAUCGACCGAUCUUGAAGUUUUCUGAUGGAUUUGAGUAUGAGCGUAAUUGUUGGGACCCGAAAGAUGGUGAACUAUGCCUGCUUAGGCUGAAGUCAGGGGAAACCCUGAUGGAGGGUCGCAGCGGUUCUGACGUGCAAAUCGAUCGUCAAAAGUGGGUAUAGGGGCGAAAGACCAAUCGAACCAUCUAGUAGCUGGUUCACACCGAU